rnacentral:rRNA from 1 species
AGUGAACGCUGGCGGUAGGCCUAACACAUGCAAGUCGAACGGCAGCGCAGUAAGAGCUUGCUCUUACGGGUGGCGAGUGGCGGACGGGUGAGGAAUACAUCGGAAUCUACUUUUUCGUGGGGGAUAACGUAGGGAAACUUACGCUAAUACCGCAUACGACCUACGGGUGAAAGCAUGGGAUCUUCGGACCUUGCGCGAUUGAAUGAGCCGAUGUCGGAUUAGCUAGUUGGCGGGGUAAAGGCCCACCAAGGCGACGAUCCGUAGCUGGUCUGAGAGGAUGAUCAGCCACACUGGAACUGAGACACGGUCCAGACUCCUACGGGAGGCAGCAGUGGGGAAUAUUGGACAAUGGGCGCAAGCCUGAUCCAGCCAUACCGCGUGGGUGAAGAAGGCCUUCGGGUUGUAAAGCCCUUUUGUUGGGAAAGAAAAGCAGCAGGUUAAUACCCCGCUGUUCUGACGGUACCCAAAGAAUAAGCACCGGCUAACUUCGUG